GAGGAGAGUGAGGGAGGGAAAGAGGAAGAAGGGGGUGAGAGGGAGAAACCUGCUGCCGCUCGCCGGCUCUUUGUCUGCUCGGGGACUUGGAACAAAAGGGGAAACUCUGAUGAACUCUCUCCAUCCUCCUCCUCCCUGACGCCUGGUUAUCUCUCCUCUCACAACUUUGCUGGAGAGACUCUUUUUAGUGCCAGGCACCCAACAAGUUCGGGCGCUUUAGGAACUGGAGUUGGAGAAUCAUCUCCUUUAAGAAUGGAUAAAAGAGGGGGGGAGAAGAAGGUGGUGGAAUGAUGAUGGGCAACAUCUAGGAAGCAUUGCAUUGUCUAGAAGACCUUUCUUGCAAGGUACUUUCUCCAGACUACAUUGUUCUUGUUGGACAUUUUUGACAGUGGAUAUAACCAUGUCAAAUCAUUAUUGGGUGAAACAUAUCAACCAACUUGGAAUUAUUGUUGGAGUUCAUAACACUGGGAUUUUUGGAUGUGACAUGACUAAUAUGAAGGAUACUAUUACUGUCGGGAAUACAGCUUCCUGAUCACUGGAAAUUCUUUGGCUCAUAAAAGGAAUUGGUCAAAUAUCACUUUACUGGGUGGCUGCUGAAGCAUGAUCACAAGACAUUCAGAAUGACGGAUGAGUGCCUCUCAGGUCUCAAGAGUUUCAUAUGUUUGUGGAGCAAUUUGUGGGUAGGAAGACGAAAUGAAGCUGCACAUUCUCUACUGUGAUCUGUACAUUUCAGGGAGGACUGAAGUUCUUGAGACCUUACUAUAUUUUUAUGCAUGUGAGAUUUAUUCUAUUCCUACCAUUGAGGACAUUGAUUGGAGCAGAAAUUUGUAUCACUGAAUAUUGAGACUGAGAGCUUUGGGAAAUGGAAGCACACAUAUGGAUUAUUUUAAAAGAUAACAAAAAAGCAAACCCCUAAAAUACACAAAACCAAAACAACCCUAGUAAAAAGAAAAUAAGUUCUCUUUGACACUGUUUUUUUCUUUCUUUUUUUUAUUCUUCAAAAGCAAGAUGGUCUUUUUAAAAAUCUUGAAAAUCAAUACUUUUCCAGGUCACCCUUUGUAACAUCACACAGCUAGAUGGAACUCUUUGUUUUAUCAAAGAAUGACCCUUUCAUCUGUUGAGAUAUAAUUUCUGCCAGCAUUUGAUUUUGAAGGUUGUCAUUUCAUCCUCCAGUUUUUCUUUUUAUUGUCCUAUCCAGAUCUACUUGAAGGUUUCGUAUAUUUGCUGUAUGAUUUUUUGUCAUUGUUGUCAUUUCUUUUCAGACCAAAAGGAAGAGGGAAAAAUAAAGUAAAAUAAACCAUUUCUAACAAUCAACAACCUCUGUUUAAUUCCUGGGGUUUGUAAGACCAGAGACUGGUUUGGUUGUGCUUAUUCUGUCCAGUUUUUAUGAUGCAUGGAACUAGAUAGGCCAUUUCCUGUGUUUCACUAAGCCACUUUAAAAGGGGUCAGAAUUCAUUCAGCUCUUGAGAGUACAUUUUAGCCCCCUGAAGCACUUGUUAACUAAAUGGUGCCCUAAUUGCCUCCAAAUAACUCUCCCAUUUCCCCUCUCUUAGAAUAUUUGUCCAGCAGGCUCUACCCCCAUUGACUUUUGCUGUGCAAACUCCAAUACCCUGUUAACAUUCCAUUAGGAUGAAUAUAGAACCAAGAAAAGCUUGCAUGUGAGUGAAAGGAUCAGAAGUGAAGCUUAGACUGUGAGAUUCAGAAAAUGAUUAGGUGGAAUAUUUUUUUGAACAGAGGCAAGACAGUGAAGCCAGGUGAUGAAGUCAAAAGAAGGGAGUAAAGAUAUCAAAAUGACUCUUUUGCCAUUCUUGAUCGUCAUGGUAUAUUAUGAUAUGUUCUGAAAUUGUUUAUUUGGUUCCUUUGACCAGACAAGCCUCUUUUGAAUCCCUUCUUUUGUUCUCUUACCUUGCUUCCUAAGCUCUUUAAAUAGGAAAGGAUAGAUAGAAUUAUAAAACUCAGAAAGGUUUUUGUUGACAUUAACUUGAGGUAUAUAACCCAAGAGGCUCGAGAUACACCAGACAUAGCUCACAACCUUGGUGUUACCCUGGACUUCUGACUCUCUGUUACCCUAUCUCCUUUCCCCCAUAUCCAUUGUCAGGUCCUGUUAUUUCUACCUUUGUUAUGUCUCUGGUAUAUAUAGUCUCUUUUCCACCACCCUGGAGUAAGCUCUUAUUGCUUCAUGCAUGGGAUAUUACAUUUGCCUUCUGGUAGAGCUCCCCGGCCCAAGUCUUUUCCCUUUCUAGUCCAUCCUCAAUUUGGUUGUCAAAUUAAUCUUCCUAAAGUAGCAAUUCUGAUCAUAGCCAACCCACACCCUCCACUCAUUAAACUUCAGUGGCUCCUUAUUUCCUCCAAGAACAAAUGUAAAACCCUCUAGUUGAUGUUCAAAGAUCUUCAUGUUCUGGGACCUCCUCCCCACCAUCAACUUUUCCAUUCUUCUUAUGCCUUAGUUCAUCAUCUCCUCAACCCCAAUCUUUAUGUAAAAUGUACUGAAACUGUGAUUCAAUGACACUGUCCUUGCUGGUCCUUGAAUUAGAUUCUAUUUCUCCCUUUCCAGGUAGCCCAUGAACUCAAGAAUUUUCCCCCCUCAUUUUUACUAUUCUUUCUCUUUCCUUCUUCCUUUUAUCUCUCCCCUGAUCAAAGCAUCUCAGACCUAGAAUGGAUCUCAGAAGUUAUCUAAUUCAGAAUAUGUAUGUGAAAUGCCUCGGGAUCCCUGUUGGGAAUUAAGAGGCAAAUUGAAUAUAUUAUAUUAUUUGUGAAGGUAGCUAGAUAGUUUAGUGUAUAGAGCACUGGGACUGGAGUCAGAAAGACCUGUCUUCAAAUCUAAUCUCAGAUACUUACUAGCUGUGUGAUCCUGGAUAAGUCACUUAAUUUUAUGUGCCUCAGUUCUUCAUCUGUAAAAUGAGCUAGAGAAGGAAAUGGCAAAACCAUACCAGAUUAAAAAAAACACCUC